GCGUUCCGGAUUUGGCGUAAGACCGUAGGCGGUUUGCGCGCCUGCGUGAAAGUCGGGGCUUACCCCGGAUUGCGGUGGGUCGGGCAGACCUAGAGUGCAGUAGGGGAGACUGGAAUUCCUGGUGUAGCGGUGGAAUGCGCAGAUAUCAGGAGGAACACCGAUGGCGAAGGCAGGUCUUUGGGCUGUAACUGACGCUGAGGACGAAAGCAUGGGGAGCGAACAGGAUUAGAUACCCUGGUAGUCCAUGCCGUAAACGUUGGGCACUAGGUGUGGGGACCAUUUCCACGGUUUCGCGCCGCAGCUAACGCAUUUAAGUGCCCCGCCUGGGGAGUACGGCCGCAAGGCUAAAACUUCAAAGGAAUUUGACGGGGGCCCGCACAAGCGGCGGAGCAUGCGGAUU
rnacentral:rRNA from 1 species